CCUACGGGGGGCAGCAGUGGGGAAUAUUGCACAAUGGGCGCAAGCCUGAUGCAGCGACGCCGCGUGAGCGAUGAAGGCCUUCGGGUCGUAAAGCUCUGUCCUAAGGGAAGAAUAAUGACGGUACCUUAGGAGGAAGCCCCGGCUAACUACGUGCCAGCAGACGCGGUAAUACGUAGGGGGCGAGCGUUAUCCGGAAUCACUGGGCGUAAAGGGUGCGUAGGCGGCCCUGCAAGUCAGGAGUUAAAUCCCUCGGCUCAACCGAGGUCAGCUCUUGAAACCGGAGGGCUUGAGUGCAAGAGAGGAUAGCGGAAUUCAUAGUGCAGCGGUGAAAGUCGUAGAUAUUAGGAGGAACACCAGUGGCUAAGGCGGCUCUCUCGACUGCAACUGACGCUGAGGCACGAAAGAGUGGGGAGCGAACAGGAUUAGAUACCCCAGUAGUC
rnacentral:rRNA from 1 species